CACACGCAUCUCAGACUCGGUGGCCAAGUUCACGAGCAGCGUGAGAUGGUGUCAGCCACCGAGCACCGUGGAGUCGUGCGUGUGACUUCCAGUCUGGGUCACCAAAGGCCACCAGCUUCCUCUUGGGACACUCAGAGCCCCGCUCUCCUGCCAUGAGAAGCCCAAGGCACAGAGAACAUCCAGGGACAUGGUCCAUCAGCAGCGCCAGCUGAGCCCAGCCUGGACCAGACAGCUGCGUGUUGGAAUCACCUGGGCAGACUCCAGACCUCCCAGUGUCUAAACUGCACCUGGACCAGGGACUGAGAACAUCGUGGGGGGGACCCGGGACCAGGCGAAUCCAACGGGAUCACCAGGAGCUUGCCAGCAAUGCAGCGUCUGCAUUAACGCCCAGAAAGAAUUCAGAGACGAGACGCGGAGGUCAAGAAAGUUAAGUGAGAUUAUAUGGUAUUUUCUUUCUCUUUCUGGCUUACUUCACUUAGAAUGACAAUCUUCAGGCCCAUCCAUGUUGCUGCGAACGACAUUGUUUUAUUUCUGUGUGUGACUGAGUAGCGUUCUAUUGUUUAAACACACCACAACUUCUUUACCCAGUCGUCUGUCGAUGGACAUUUAGGCUGUUUCCACGUCUUGGCUGUUGCAUAUAGUGCUUCUGUGAACACUGGGGUGCAUGUAUCCUUUUGAAUUUGACUUCCCUCCGGAUGUAUGCCCCAGAGUAGGAUUGCUUGAUCAUAUGGUAAGUCUAUUUUUAGUUUUUUGAGGAAUCUCCAUACUGUUUUCCAUAAUGGUACUCACAGACAUAGUAAAAAAUCUUAUGGUUACCAGGGGGAAAGGGAGUGGGAAAGGAUAAAUUUGGGAGCUUGAGAUUUGUAAAUACUAACCACUAUAUAUAAAAAUAGAUUAAAAAAACAAAUUUCUUCUGUAGAGCACAGGGAACUAUAUUCAACAUCUUGU